UCAGCGUCCUUGCAAAAUACUCAUUCACAGAUUCUCCGGUUUUCAUGUUCAGAAUUUCAAACUCUUUACGAAGAGCUUAUAAUUGAGCCCGCUUGACUCGAAUCGUGCCUUGAUACUUCUUCUUUAAGGAGUCCCAUAUGUCUUUGGCGGUGUCUUUCUUGAGAAUAGUCUCUAGAACAACUCGAUCAAUUCCUUGAUACAAGUAAUUCUUCGCCUUUAGAUCCUUUAGCUUCAUGUCGUUUCUUGCCUUUAACUGUGCCUCAUUCAAGGCUGCUUCAUCUUUUAC
rnacentral:lncRNA from 1 species